GAGCUCCUACGGGAGGCAGCAGUGAGGAAUAUUGGUCAAUGGCCGCAGGGCUGAACCAGCCACGUCGCGUGAGGGAUGACGGUGCUAUGGAUUGUAAACCUCUUUUGUCAGGGAGCAAAGGGCGCCACGUGUGGCGCUUUGCGAGUACCUGAAGAAAAAGCAUCGGCUAACUCCGUGCCAGCAGCCGCGGUAAUACGGAGGAUGCGAGCGUUAUCCGGAUUUAUUGGGUUUAAAGGGUGCGCAGGCGGAAUGUCAAGUCAGCGGUAAAAUUUCGGGGCUCAACCCCGUCGUGCCGUUGAAACUCG
rnacentral:rRNA from 1 species